rnacentral:tRNA from 1 species
CCUGGUACCUUAGAUGGUAAAGUGUCUGCCUACAAAGCAGGAAACCCGGGUUCGAUUCCUGGGUCAGGA